AACUUAGGAUUUUUGACACUUUGACACACACUAUACAGCCUUGUGUGUGUGUGCAUGUACAAUUGAAUAAUUGCCAUGUAACACAUUAGCAACAUGAAGGUUGGGGCUGUCCAAAUAAACGAUUUCGCAGUAAAAUGUUUCGCAAUGAGACAUUUUACGCGACCCUAGCCUU